GCCCUGGAGAGACCCAGACUAUUCGACAGUGACUAGCACUUAAUAGACAUGUGUGGAAAUUAUGACCUCUGCAGACUAAGAAGUCCAAGAUCAAAGUGCUGGCCAAUUCCUGUGGUUGGAAAAAACGAAACAACUCUGGCAAGAUCAAGCAUCCAUCUCUUGGUACCUGACAAUGAAGCAGAGAAAGAGAAUCCUGAGCAGAAGGUGGAAACAGAGAAAGUCUUAAAAUAUGUAUGACUGAUUUGGUUACCUCUUAGGAGGCGCUGGGGAAGAGGGAGGAAGUAAAAUCACAUUUCUUGAGAGGUCACUGGAACAUGAGGUCUUAGAAGGAAGGGAGCCGGUCCAUUUGUUCACUAGUUUGUUUCCAGCUCCCAGCAUAAGUCCUGACGUGCAGCAGACAUUCACUGUUUGUUGAAGGAAGGACAGACAUGGCAUAGAGCAACCAGUGGCAACCAGUAACUAUUUUGAAGGAAUGAAUCUAUCAAUGAAUACCCACUGUAUGUCAGGCACUGCGUCAUUCUUUCAUUCAAUUUACACAUGUUUUCCUGAGUGAGCUCCUAUCAUUUGCCAAGCACUCUGCUGGACACCGUGGAUUCCAACAAGAAAAGAAGCAGUUCUUGCCCUCAAAGAGCUUACAGUCUCGGCAACAUAGACCUACAGGCAAUGGUGAUGCAAUAUAUAAUGAUCACAAGCUGUAUAUCAGAGCUCAGGCACACAUAGAUGAGGUCUUAAACCUUCCUGGAAGAACCAAGGCAAUCCCCACAGAGGAGGCAGCCUUUGAACUGAGACUUAAAAUGUGUGAAGGAUCUCAGACAUUUCAGGCAAUGAGGAUGGUGUGAGAGAAACUUGUUUACUACAAGAAGCUCAUCCUUGGAGGAGAAAAAAAUUCUGUGAGGCAAAGAAGUGGGAGAAUGGAUAGAGAAAGGAAGGGAGAGGCUUCCAGCUACUCAUAAAAGGUCCAGUAUUUCAUUUAAAACAGUUGAACUCACCCUACAGAAAACAGAAAUCAAGUUCGGCUUCAUGGGUGUGUAGCUGGUGCAGUCCCACGGGACUUCAUGCUUGGUUGGGCCCCAUGCUUGGUUUAAUGCUCUGCUGCCAGCUGUUCUGAAAUUCUCAAUAAUUUAGUCUUUUUUCUUAUUUAUUUAUUUAAUUGAAGUACAGUUUUUGAUGUACAGUGUUACUUGAAUUUUCCUCAUGUUUAGUUGUGUCUGACUCUUUGUGAUCCCAUAGGCUAUAGCCUACCAGACUCCUUUGCCCAUGGAAUUUUCCAGACAAGAAUACUGGGUUGCCAUUUCCUACUCCGGAGAUCUUCCUGGCCCACAGACUGAACCCUCAUUGCCUGCACUGGCAGACAGACUCUUCACCACUAGCGCGUAUUAUACAGUGAUUCACAAUUUUUAAAGAUUUAUGGUUAUUAUGAAAUACUGGUUAUAUUUCCUGUGUUGUAACUGACUUUAAAUUUCUUCUUCAAAAAAUUAAUUAAUUUAAUUGGAAGAUAAUUACUUUCCUUGUAGCUUACUUUAUACAUAGUAGUUUGUAACUCUCAACCCCCCGUCCCCCCGACCCUUAUGUUGCCCCUCCUACCUUCCCUC
ensembl:lncRNA